rnacentral:tRNA from 2 species
AGGGGCGUGGUGAAGUGGUAUCAUAAAGGUCUCCAAAACCUUUGGUCCAGGUUCGAUUCCUGGCGCCCCUGCCA